UGGGGAAUUUUGGACAAUGGGGGAAACCCUGAUCCAGCCAUCCCGCGUGUGCGAUGAAGGCCUUCGGGUUGUAAAGCACUUUUGGCAGGAAAGAAACGUCAUGGGUUAAUACCCCGUGAAACUGACGGUACCUGCAGAAUAAGCACCGGCUAACUACGUGCCAGCCGCGGCGGUAAUACGUAGGGUGCAAGCGUUAAUCGGAAUUACUGGGCGUAAAGCGUGCGCAGGCGGUUCGGAAAGAAAGAUGUGAAAUCCCAGAGCUCAACUUUGGAACUUCAUUUUUAACUACCGGGCUAGAGUGUGUCAGAGGGAGGUGGAAUUCCGCGUGUAGCAGUGAAAUGCGUAGAUAUGCGGAGGAACACCGAUGGCGAAGGCAGCCUCCUGGGAUAACACUGACGCUCAUGCACGAAAGCGUGGGGAGCAAACAGG
rnacentral:rRNA from 1 species